CCAGUAAAAUACAACCACAGGGCAGCACAGCAAAGGAGCCAGAAGAGGACAGUGGCGUGCCACAGCCCGCAACAGCUACAGCUUUUAUCUGCGGUUACACUGAUCUGAGGAAUGAAGACACUGAAGGCCAGAAAGAGACUUUGCAAGUGAAUCAAUGCUUUAAAGAAAAGGCACUACCUGCUGAAGGAGCACUUGCAGGGACUGAAGCAAGCUAUCACACCAUCAGCUAUUCCCUACUGGCCUUCAGAUCAAGCACAAUAAGAGGAGGUCACAUGCAGGGCAAAGGUCAUGAGGUCAUGUGACAUGCCAUGCAGCACUUUAGCCUCCUUCUUCAUCGUCGCAGUGUGACAGCGACUACAGAUGAGGACGUAUCAGUGCAACACUCUGAAUUAUAACAUGUGCACUGCUCUCAAAUUCCACUGUGCAGAAUGUUCACUUCAUUAAAUAUAACUUUACAUAUG